AUUGGUAAGAUUUUGUUACUAUGCUUUUAUUAAAUGUGUCUGAUUGUAUGGUUAUCGUGAUGUGCGUUAGAUAUGCGGUGUUCAGUUUCACGGUGGUCGAUCUGCGUUGGCAACAACGUGUUUCCGUCAGUGACUGUGGUGGUGGUCAGGAAUGGUGACGAUGUUAGCUGGUAGUUAAAGGUUAAGUCAAAAGGAAAUCGAAGGUUAGAUGUUAAGGUUCGGUGAUGAGGCCGCCCGGAGUCGGGAGUGACGUUGCCCCCAGUGCAUGGCUGACUGAGUAGCACGUCUACAUCCGGAUAUCUCACUUCAUAUACAUUUUAGGAUGUAGGCGGCUCGAUGCUUCUCUCGGGCUCUGAUUUAAUAGGUUUCUGGGAUAGGCUCUGUGCUGCGAUUUCUGUUAGUGUGGAUCAGGAAGAUCAGUUGCUCCAAUCAAAGCUGGUUUUGUAGCUCGCGUUGGCCGAAGAACUGCAGGGUCAUGAUUUGGCACUACUCAAAUGCUACAACUCUGCUACACCUAUUUGUUAGAGUGGGAGAAUGUUCUGUCAUGUAAGCUGAUUCUGGAAGAGACGCGGGAUAUCAGUUCAGGUAUGACUGAUUGGAACGGUAUCCAUUAUUUCACAAUCAAUAAUACAUCAUUGAAAUAUUCUUUCUGUGUUAGCCGCAUAAUGUGCUUAACGUCCUUUCAAUACCUACUCUGUUUUUGAUGCAUCAAGGUUAUUAUUAUUGUUAUUAAUUACCGUUGUAGAUGCGAUUUUCUCCGGAGAUUAACGAGGUAUCGUGCUCUUCCUUUUACUCUUGCGUUCUAUGUUUGCGGCAACGUGUACAUCGGCAUGCAUCACAUUGCUCAUCGAUAUCGAUCUUGAUUGGACUCAAUUCAAAGAUAUGUUGCAGCAUCGAAGGAGACUGAGAAGUGGCUUAUUCAAUGGUGAUAUGAACGAAUGAACUAGGUGCACAUAUGCGAGGAGGAGGAGGAGGAUUUAGUAGGAACUAAGCUUCACAUUUUUAUGUCGGCUCAUCUCCGCCGAAUAGACAGAUAUCUACAUCCGAUUAGCGUCGAACAUAUACGCUCUUCUUGAAUUGCACUUU